rnacentral:siRNA from 1 species
AGAAGAGAAUCAGCAGUAACCGAU